AAAACAAGCGCCGAAAAGUGAAAUAAAGGAACAAAAUAAUUGAGAAAAAAUUGGUAUCUCCGAAUCCAUUUCCUUUUCUCCUUCAUUCAUUCAUCCCUCCUAUUCCUCUCCCUUUUCCUCUUUCUCUUCCUUUUCUUCUUUCUCUUCUUUCUCCUCCUCUUUUUGCUCCAAUUCUGAAACAGAGAUAGGCUCUUCCACAUGAAGAGAAGGGAGAAGAG
rnacentral:ribozyme from 13 species